GCCGAUAUAGUUUAAUGGCUAGAACUACUGAUUUGUAACCAGUAAAUGGGAGUUCAAUUCUCUCUAUCGGCUCCA
rnacentral:tRNA from 1 species